rnacentral:lncRNA from 1 species
UGUGUUCAGUUUAUGAACGCUCACUUGCCGGUACUUAAGGUUCAUGUACUUUUCUGUUAUACUCUGGUACAGUUUUCAAAAAAAACAAAAAAACCUUUGAGGAAGAAAUGACAUAAAAUAAUUUUGAAUAAUAAUGAAAACAUAACUCCAAACUCAGGCCAUCCAGGAGGCUCUCAGUCCCCCUCCCAGCAGAUUCGUCCCGACUGUUCCUCACACACCCAAUUCAGCACAGGGGGUGAAAGAGGCUUAGGUUUCAACGUUCCCCAAUCUGGCCUCAUUUACUCUUCCUUCACACUGACCUCAGCCGCUCAGCCUCUUUAUCAAUUGCUUCAGGACUUUUUUUUUUUUUUUUUUUCUUUUCCCCAAACAGAUUAAGCCACAGUUGUUCAUCUGUUCAACAAAGUCUGCCCGCUGUGCAAUCUGUGGCUCUCCAGGGCUGGGGUGUUGAAGAAAACCUGCUGGCUGUGAAACAGAAGGGGAGUUGUUUUAUUUCAUGCCGGUACUUUUCAGCUCCCUACAGGCUUAACCGCGAACCUGCCCAGCUACUGGAAAUGGCCAUUACUGAUUCUGGCGUUUGA